AGUGAACGCUGGCGGUAGGCCUAACACAUGCAAGUCGAACGGCAGCACAGUAAGAGCUUGCUCUUACGGGUGGCGAGUGGCGGACGGGUGAGGAAUACAUCGGAAUCUACUUUUUCGUGGGGGAUAACGUAGGGAAACUUACGCUAAUACCGCAUACGACCUACGGGUGAAAGCAGGGGAUCUUCGGACCUUGCGCGAUUGAAUGAGCCGAUGUCGCAUUAGCUAGUUGGCGGGGUAAAGGCCCACCAAGGCGACGAUACGUAGCUGGUCUGAGAGGAUGAUCAGCCACACUGGAACUGAGACACGGUCCAGACUCCUACGGGAGGCAGCAGUGGGGAAUAUUGGACAAUGGGCGCAAGCCUGAUCCAGCCAUACCGCGUGAGUGAAGAAGGCCUUCGGGUUGUAAAGCCCCGUUGUUGGGAAAGAAAAGCAGCAGGUUAAUACCCCGCUGUUCUGACGGUACCCAAAGAAUAAGCACCGGCUAACUUCGUG
rnacentral:rRNA from 1 species